CCUACGGGCGGCAGCAGUGAGGAAUAUUGGUCAAUGGACGAGAGUCUGAACCAGCCAAGUAGCGUGAAGGAUGACUGCCCUAUGGGUUGUAAACUUCUUUUAUAUGGGAAUAAACUGUUCCACGUGUGGGCUUUUGUAUGUACCAUAUGAAUAAGGAUCGGCUAACUCCGUGCCAGCCGCCGCGGUAAUACGGAGGAUCCGAGCGUUAUCCGGAUUUAUUGGGUUUAAAGGGAGCGUAGGUGGGUGGUUAAGUCAGUUGUGAAAGUUGGCGGCUCAACCGUGGAAUUGCAGUUGAUACUGGCAGGCUUGAGUACAGUAGAGGUGGGAGGAAUUCGUGGUGUAGCGGUGAAAUGCUUAGAUAUCACGAAGAACUCCGAUUGCGAAGGCAGUUCACUGGACUGCAACUGACACUGAGGCUCGAAAGUGUGGGUAUCAAACAGGAUUAGAUACCCUUGUAGUC
rnacentral:rRNA from 1 species